UGGGGAAUAUUGCACAAUGGGCGAAAGCCUGAUGCAGCGACGCCGCGUGAGGGAUGACGGCCUUCGGGUUGUAAACCUCUUUCAGCAGGGAAGAAGCGCAAGUGACGGUACCUGCAGAAGAAGCACCGGCUAACUACGUGCCAGCAGCCGCGGUAAUACGUAGGGUGCGAGCGUUGUCCGGAAUUAUUGGGCGUAAAGAGCUUGUAGGCGGUUUGUCGCGUCUGCAGUGAAAAUCCGGGGCUCAACCCCGGACUUGCUGUGGGUACGGGCAGACUAGAGUAUGGUAGGGGAGACCGGAAUUCCUGGUGUAGCGGUGGAAUGCGCAGAUAUCAGGAGGAACACCGAUGGCGAAGGCAGGUCUCUGGGCCAUAACUGACGCUGAGAAGCGAAAGCAUGGGGAGCGAACAGG
rnacentral:rRNA from 1 species